CUACGGAGGCUGCAGUGGGGAAUAUUGGACAAUGGGCGAAAGCCUGAUCCAGCCAUGCCGCGUGUGUGAAGAAGGCCUUCGGGUUGUAAAGCACUUUCAGUGGGGAAGAAAGCCUUGGGGCUAAUACCCUCGAGGAAGGACAUCACCCACAGAAGAAGCACCGGCUAACUCCGUGCCAGCAGCCGCGGUAAUACGGAGGGUGCGAGCGUUAAUCGGAAUUACUGGGCGUAAAGCGCGCGUAGGCGGUCUGAUAAGCCGGUUGUGAAAGCCCCGGGCUCAACCUGGGAACGGCAUCCGGAACUGUCAGGCUAGAGUGCAGGAGAGGAAGGUAGAAUUCCCGGUGUAGCGGUGAAAUGCGUAGAGAUCGGGAGGAAUACCAGUGGCGAAGGCGGCCUUCUGGACUGACACUGACGCUGAGGUGCGAAAGCGUGGGUAGCAAACAGGAUUAGAUACCCCGUAGUC
rnacentral:rRNA from 1 species